GAUGAACGCUAGCGGCAGGCCUAAUACAUGCAAGUCGAACGAUACCGGAGAGCUUGCUUUCCGGGAAAGUGGCGCACGGGUGCGUAACGCGUAUGCAACCUACCUUAAUCAGGGGGAUAGCCUCUCGAAAGAGAGAUUAACACCGCAUAACAUCAUUUUACGGCAUCGUCGAAUGAUCAAAUAUUUAUAGGAUUAAGAUGGGCAUGCGUGUCGUUAGUUAGUUGGUGAGGUAAUGGCUCACCAAGACGAUGAUGACUAGGGGAUCUGAGAGGAUGACCCCCCACACUGGUACUGAGACACGGACCAGACUCCUACGGGAGGCAGCAGUAAGGAAUAUUGGUCAAUGGAGGCAACCCUGAACCAGCCAUGCCGCGUGCAGGAAGACGGCCCUAUGGGUUGUAAACUGCUUUUAUACGGGAAUAAACCUCUCUACGUGUAGGGAGUUGAAUGUACUGUAAGAAUAAGGAUCGGCUAACUCCGUGCCAGCAGCCGCGGUAAUAC
rnacentral:rRNA from 1 species